AAGAAAAGAAAAAUAAAAAGGGUCGAGCAAGUCCAAAGGUGGAGACAAGAGUCAACAGUCAAGAGUAUGUAGCAAAAUCUAAAAAUAGCAAGUGACGGCGACGAUUCAGGAAGAUUUUCCGUUAAGAAACUAAAGUUGUACUGUAACGUUCUCUUUCUUUCAAAAAUCCAGAAUUUGAAAUUUCUACUUUACUCUUUUCAUUUGAAACAGGGCAAUUUCAAUUCAAACUUCCAUUAAAAUGUCUGGUUACAGAGCAGAAGAUGAUUAUGAUUACCUCUUCAAAGUAGUUUUAAUCGGAGAUUCUGGUGUUGGAAAGUCCAAUUUGCUCUCUAGGUUCACUAGAAAUGAGUUUAGCCUCGAGUCUAAAUCUACAAUUGGUGUCGAGUUUGCUACUCGGAGUUUAAAUGUUGAUGGAAAGGUUAUUAAAGCUCAGAUUUGGGAUACUGCUGGUCAAGAAAGGUAUCGGGCUAUUACAAGUGCCUAUUACCGAGGAGCUGUUGGUGCACUCCUUGUGUACGAUGUCACUAGGCACGCCACAUUCGAAAGUGUGGAGAGGUGGUUAAAGGAGCUAAGGGAUCACACUGAUCCCAACAUCGUAAUUAUGCUCAUCGGAAACAAAUCAGACCUUCGUCACCUUGUUGCAGUUCCAGUUGAAGAUGGGAAAACAUUCUCUGUAACGGAGUCCCUUUAUUUCAUGGAGACUUCUGCGCUGGAAGCAACCAAUGUGGAGAAUGCCUUCACAGAAGUUCUUACUCAAAUUUACCGCAUUGUCAGCAAGAAGGCUAUGGAAGCCGGAGAGGAUGCAAAUGGUUCAGCCGUUCCUGCCGGUGAGAAAAUAGAUAUUGGCAAAGAAGUGUCUGCAGUGAAGAAAGGUGGCUGCUGCUCUAGUUAAGGUGCUUGUGGAGCUGCACAGUUUUUCUGUACACCUUGAUAUGGGCCAUUUUUUUAUAUGGACCAUCUUAGGAGUGUUGUCCAAUUGAAGAGUAAGCUUAGCAAGAGAAAGAGUGCUAUCACUUUGAUGCUGUGGACUGAGAUUUUGUUUUAGAUUUGGCUUCAGAGGAUUGGACGCAUUUUUAAUGGAUCUAUCUUCCUACCUUGUCAUGUAGCUAAGAAUAUCCUUUUUUAUGUUGCUUCUAGAUUAGAUGAUGAUAGGAAGACUAAUCUUAUUGUUUAGUUUGUUUGGUGGCUUCUUGUUGUUUGGUUUUGGCCUACUUGUUUUGGCUUUGGUGCUUCCUUUUCGUG